rnacentral:rRNA from 1 species
UACGGGGGGAGCAAGCGUUGUUCGGAUUCAUUGGGCGUAAAGGGCGCGUAGGCGGUUCGCUAAGUUGGAUGUGAAAACUCUGGGCCCAACCCAGAGCCUGCAUCCAAAACUGGCGGGCUAGAGUUCUGGAGGGGGUAGCGGAAUUCCUGGUGUAGCGGUGAAAUGCGUAGAUAUCAGGAGGAACACCGGUGGCGAAGGCGGCUACCUGGACAGAUACUGACGCUGAGGCGCGAAAGCGUGGGUAGCAAACAGG